UCCUGUUUGACUUAGUGGCGGACGGGUGAGUAACGCGUGAGGAACCUGCCUUGCAGUGGGGAAUAACAGUUGGAAACGACUGCUAAUACCGCAUAAUGCAGAGAGAUCGCAUGGUCUUUCUGCCAAAGAUUUAUCGCUGUGAGAUGGCCUCGCGUCUGAUUAGCUAGUUGGUGAGGUAACGGCUCACCAAGGCGACGAUCAGUAGCCGGACUGAGAGGUUGACCGGCCACAUUGGGACUGAGACACGGCCCAGACUCC
rnacentral:rRNA from 1 species